rnacentral:lncRNA from 1 species
GUCCUAUCCUAGGGGUGAGACGCCGCAACCGACGGCGCCGGUGGUCGGAAAAGAGAGGAAAGGGCCCGGCCGAAACAGAGCAAAACAGGGGUUCACCUUGUUCAUGGAUUUUUCGAUGAUCCCGACGGCCGGUGAGGAUCUAAGCCAUGGGGAGAAAGGAAAGAGGGAGAGGAAGAAAAUUUGGAGCCUUACCUGAACUCCGGUGGCCUCUUCGACCAUCGAUUUCAGACGAACAUGAGAAGAGGCUGCCGCGGCUUCUACGGAGAAAAGGAGAGGAAUCAGGCUCGAAGAUCACUGGUGGAGGGUCUUG